UUUUUUUUUUUUAUGGAAGAUUAAUCUCUCCCAUUAUUUUGAGGAAGAUGUAUAAGCCGUUAAUUACAUCCUUCGAUGUAAAUAUGUUGUUAGCUUUGUGUUUUCAUUUUGGUUUGAUUGUUUUCAAUUACUUCCUCCGAUCCUUUUUAUAAGGAACACUUAGGGCAAAAAAUUUGGUCUUUUUUAUAAGAAAUUUUGACCAAUAUUCAAAU
rnacentral:lncRNA from 1 species